rnacentral:rRNA from 1 species
UAUGGUGGUUUUGCCAAGGGUGUUCACCUCUUCCCAUUCCGAACAGAGAAGUUAAGCCCCUUAUGGCCGAUGGUACUUGAUUAAUUUCUGGGAGAGUAGGUAGCUGCCAUAU